rnacentral:rRNA from 1 species
AGCUGGCUCUCGGGCCCGCAUUGUAAUUUGCAGAGGAUGCUUCUGGCGACGCGCCUUCCGAGUUCCCUGGAACGGGACGCCAUAGAGGGUGAGAGCCCCGUCCGGUCGUGCGCCUAGCCUCUGUGAAGCUCCUUCGACGAGUCGAGUAGUUUGGGAAUGCUGCUCAAAAUGGGAGGUAUACGUCUUCUAAAGCUAAAUACCGGCCAGAGACCGAUAGCGCACAAGUAGAGUGAUCGAAAGAUGAAAAGCACUUUGAAAAGAGAGUUAAAAAGUACGUGAAAUUGUUGAAAGGGAAGCGCUCAUGACCAGACUUGGGCUGGCCCGAUCAUCCGGCGUUCUCGCCGGUGCACUCGGGCCGCCCAGGCCAGCAUCAGCUUUCGCCGGGGGAUAAAGGCGGCGGGAAUGUGGCUCCCUCGGGAGUGUUAUAGCCCGCCGUGCAAUACCCUGGUGGGGGCUGAGGUUCGCGCGUAUGCACGGAUGCUGGCGUAAUGGUUAUCAGCGACCCGUCUUGAAACACGGACCAAGGAGUCGUCUUCGUAUGCGAGUGUUCGGGUGUCAAACCCCUACGCGGAAUGAAAGUGAACGCUGGUGAGAGCUUCGGCGCAUCACCGACCGAUCCUGAUGUUCUCGGACGGAUUUGAGUAAGAGCAUACGGGGCCGGACCCGAAAGAAGGUGAACUAUGCCUGUAUAGGGUGAAGCCAGAGGAAACUCUGGUGGAGGCUCGCAGCGGUUCUGACGUGCAAAUCGAUCGUCAAAUAUGGGCAUGGGGGCGAAAGACUAAUCGAACUUC